GGAUGCGAUCAUACCAGCAUUAAUGCACUAGAUCCCAUCAGAACUCUGAAGUUAAGCGUGCUUUGGCGAGAGUAGUACUAGGAUGGGUGACCUCUCGGAAAGUCUUCGUAUUGCAUCCC
rnacentral:rRNA from 1 species